rnacentral:rRNA from 1 species
CUCUUAGAUGUUCUGGGCCGCACGCGUGCUACACUGAGUGGAUCAGCGGGUCAGGUUGCGCGAAAGUGUUUCCUAAUCUUGAAAUCCGCUCGUGAUGGGGAUUGACGGUUGCAAUUUUCCGUCAUGAACGAGGAAUACCUUGUAAGCGCGGGUCAUCAUCCCGCGCUGAAUACGUCCCUGCCCUUUGUACACACCGCCCGUCGCUCCUACCGAUUGAGUGGUCCGGUGAGGCUUUGGGAUCUGAGCAAAGAGAGCGUUUCGCUCGUUUUGCCCGGAAAACUCAGUCGAACCUUAUCAUUUAGAGGAAGGAGAAGUCGUAACA